AGAACGAACGCUGGCGGCAUGCCUAACACAUGCAAGUCGAACGCUCUUGGGGCUUCGGUUCCAAGGGAGUGGCGCACGGGUGAGUAGCGCGUGGGAACCUGCCCUGGAGUGGGGGAUAACCGAGGGAAACUUCGGCUAAUACCGCAUGCGCCCGGGAAACCGGGGAAAGAUUUAUCGCUCUAGGAGGGGCCCGCGUCGGAUUAGCUAGUUGGUGGGGUAACGGCCUACCAAGGCUUUGAUCCGUAGCUGGUCUGAGAGGAUGAUCAGCCACACUGGGACUGAGACACGGCCCAGACUCCUACGGGAGGCAGCAGUGGGGAAUAUUGGACAAUGGGCGCAAGCCUGAUCCAGCAAUGCCGCGUGAGUGAUGAAGGCCUUCGGGUUGUAAAGCUCUUUCGCACGCGAGGAUGAUGACGCUAGCGUGAGAAGAAGCCCCGGCUAACUUCGUGCCAAGACGCCGC
rnacentral:rRNA from 1 species